AAGUCAUGUAAAUUAUUGUAAACUGAAAAGUAGGGUUAUGUUUAUGUUUAUAUCUCAAAGUCAAUGAAAAAACCAUAGUUAAUCAAGUGUAUGAGUUACCUUAUGAGACGAAAGUGUUCAAGAAGCCUGACGUGGGGCAGAAUACAGCUGCGUUAAAUCCCAUGCUACACUUUUGGAUAUAAAACGUUGGCUACUCACCUAGCACCAAAGUGCUGAAGGAGAUGGACGUAGUGAAGGCUACAGUUGCGUUGAUUGACAGACACCACAGUGAUAUGCCUGCAACAAUGCACGUCCAGAGGAUAUAAAACGUUGGCUACUCACCUAGCACCAAAGUGCUGAAGGAGAUGGACGUAGUGAAGGCUACAGUUGCGUUGAUUGACAGACACCACAGUGAUAUGCCUGCAACAAUGCACGUCCAGAGGAUAUUCACCUUUGAGAUCAAGGAGCCUGACUUUAGGGCAGAAUACAGCUGCAUCAAAAUCCGUGCUGAUCAUUCGCAGACACCGCAGUGAUAUGCCUACAACAAAAUACGUCAAGAGCUCCCACAACCACGGAGGACAUCAUCAUCGUGCUCCAAUAACAUUAGUAAAAUCUUGGACAUCUCCCAGGAUCACAGCAAAUGUGUGAACCCCUCCCCUUCGAUCUUGGGACCACCGUGAACAUGUAAUGCCAUUAUGUCAAAUUUGUGAACAUAUUCCACGAUUGCAUUAUCAUAUCAUUAAUCACGACGCCGCAAAAUCGCUGAUGGUUGGAACAAA